AUUAAUACCGCAUAAGACGGUAGCUGGUCAUCCCGCAUCUGUUAUUUAUUUAUCGAUGUACCAUGGGCAUGCGACCUUUUAGUUAGUUGGCGAGGUAACGGCUCACCAAGACUAUGAUUGGUAGGGGAACUGAGAGGUCAAUCCCCCACACUGGCACUGAGAUACGGGCCAGACUCCUACGGGAGGCAGCAGUAGGGAAUAUUGGGCAAUGGACGCAAGUCUGACCCAGCCAUGCCGCGUGCAGGAUGAAGGCGUUAUGCGUUGUAAACUGCUUUUAUACAGGAAGAAACGACUCUUGCGAGAGGCAUUGACGGUACUGUAUGAAUAAGCACCGGCUAACUCCGUGCCAGCAGCCGCGGUAAUACGGAGGGUGCAAGCGUUGUCCGGAUUUAUUGGGUUUAAAGGGUGCGCAGGUGGUUUAUUAAGUCAGUGGUGAAAGACGGUCGCUCAACGAUUGCAUGUGCCAUUGAAACUGGUAGACUUGAGUAAAGUAGAGGUGGGCGGAAUUGAUAGUGUAGCGGUGAAAUGCAUAGAUAUUAUCAAGAACUCCAAUUGCGUAGGCAGCUCACUUGGCUUUUACUGACACUCAUGCAC
rnacentral:rRNA from 1 species